rnacentral:rRNA from 1 species
AGUAGGGAAUCUUGCGCAAUGGGCGAAAGCCUGACGCAGCCAUGCCGCGUGAAUGAUGAAGGUCUUAGGAUUGUAAAAUUCUUUCACCGGGGACGAUAAUGACGGUACCCGGAGAAGAAGCCCCGGCUAACUUCGUGCCAGCAGCCGCGGUAAUACGAAGGGGGCUAGCGUUGCUCGGAAUUACUGGGCGUAAAGGGCGCGUAGGCGGACAGUUAAGUCAGAGGUGAAAGCCCAGGGCUCAACCUUGGAAUUGCCUUUGAUACUGGCUGUCUUGAGUACGGGAGAGGUGUGUGGAACUCCGAGUGUAGAGGUGAAAUUCGUAGAUAUUCGGAAGAACACCAGUGGCGAAGGCGACACACUGGCCCGUUACUGACGCUGAGGCGCGAAAGCGUGGGGAGCAAA